AUUGAACGCUGGCGGCAGGCCUAACACAUGCAAGUCGAGCGAGCGGCGGACGGGUGAGUAAUGUAUGGGGACUGCCCGAUAGAGGGGGAUAACUACUGGAAACGGUAGCUAAUACCGCAUACUAUCGGGUAACCCAUAUGGGAUUAGCUAGUCGGUGAGGUAAAGGCUCACCAAGGCAACGAUCCGUAGCUGGUUUGAGAGGACGACCAGACACACUGGGACUGAGAAACGGCCCAGACUCCUACGGAGGCAGCAGUGGGGAAUUUUGGACAAUGGGGGAAAGCCUGAUACAGCCAUGCCGCGUGUAUGAUGAAGGCCUUCGGGUUGUAAAGUACUUUUGGCAGAGAAGCGGUAUCUGCAGAAAAAGCAACGGCUAACUACGUGCCAGCAGCCGCGGUAAUUC
rnacentral:rRNA from 1 species